GACGAACGCUGGCGGCGUGCUUAACACAUGCAAGUCGAGCGGCGCGGCGGACGGGUGAGUAACGCGUGAGUAACUGCCCCCCUCUCUGGGAUGACGGUUGGACACGGCUGCUAAUACCGGAUAGUGGGGGAUGUCUCGGGUCAUAUCAGCUUGUUGGUGGGGUAGGGGCCUACCAAGGCGACGACGGGUAGCCGGCCUGAGAUGGAGACCGGCCACAUUGGGCUGGGAUACGGCCCAAACGCCUACGGGAGGCAGGAGUGGGGAACAGUGCACAAUGGGGGAAACCUUGGUGCAGCAACCCGCGUGGGGGAGGACGGCCUUCGGGUUGGAAAGCGCUUUCGGCAAUGACGCGUUCGUGGCAGAAGAAGCACCGGCUAACUACGUGCCAGCAGCCGGGUAAUAC
rnacentral:rRNA from 1 species